AUACGGCUGACGAGUCACAAAUAGGAUGAAACGCGCGUCCUGAAU
rnacentral:hammerhead_ribozyme from 1 species